rnacentral:lncRNA from 1 species
GCGACAGAGUGAGACUCCGCCUCAAAAAAAAAAUUAAUAGAAACACACAGAAAGAGAAACAGAGGGAGAGAGUUACACAUAUCCUGGAGGAAUUCCUGAAUUCCAAUACUGAAGUAAAUAGCUUUCAAGAUUAUGAAAUUCUAGAGUUUUUUUUUUUUUUACAAAGGAAUGAGAGUUAGACUACCAUCAAACUCUUCACCCACAACCCUAGAAGCCAGCAGACAGUGGAGGAAUAUCUGCAACCACUAAGAAGAAAGGCUGCCAUCCAGGACUCCUAUUCCCAGGAAAGAUAUCAGUCACUCAUCAAGGGUGAACUCUGAUACUUAGUGUCAAUAAAAACUCUAUGGUGCCCUGGACAUUUCAGAUAACAGAUCAUCCAGCAGAGUCUGUAGGAACCAGGGAUUCCUCACCUACGGCUCAGUGAGACCAAGAAUGUUUAAAAGCCUGCCGUGGUCUCCCCAUCCCUGCAGGGAGAUGAGGAAAACUGAGGCACAGACAGGUAACGAACCUGGCCCAAGUCAUAUAGUAAGUGUCAGUGCUAUGAUUUAGAGAGUCUGGCUCCAGAGUCCUCACUCUUAACCGAAGCAGGUAGAACCACCAAUACCAAGGCCUGCUGAUCCCUCCAUCCAGAAGUCUGAACGCGCUUCCAAGAUGCUAGAUCCAGGCUGGACUUCCCUUAGCCUGCAGAAAUGACAUUUAGAUGAGAAGCUGAAAUCAGCUGGCCAGGGAAACCAAGGUGUGAGUCCAAAAGGUCCAGGCUCUGAAACAGAUUCCAGGUUUGGGGCUUUAGGCCAGCCACUAGGAAUGCCAGACCACAGCCAAGGGGUCUGCAAGGUAAGGAGGAGGCUGAUCCUGCAGGGAUCCCCCUAGCUGCUGAAGCUUCCCCUAGCUACCUUCUGUAGGGCUCCUGGGUCUCAGCAGUGGGUGUGAAGGAAGCUGUUUGAGGGACUGAGCUAGCCUGAGAAGUAGAGCCUGGGCUGCCAGGACCCCUGGGACCUUGCUACCCCAAUCUCCUCCCUUUUCACUGUACUCCCCGUAGCAUCAUGAGGAAAGGCUUCCAGCCCCACCGGCACUGUGCUAGAGUCCUUUCCCAGCACACAGGCAGGCAGUGGAGAACAAUUGACUUCUUCCAACCUAGGUGAGGCCUAGCUCUGGAACUGAGUAUGGGGAACUUUAACUUCACUUGAGAAAAGCUGUCAUAAGUUCUAGAGCUCAGGGCUGUUGCACAGAGAAAAAUACAAAGCAGAAACCUAAUAAUAAAUAUGCAAUGAGGACAUAGUGUGUGCCAGACACGGGGCUCCACGUGCAUUGUCUGAUCCCGUUCUCAAACAACUCAGCGAGGGAGAGUCUGUUACUUAUUCUCAUUUCAUAGAUGAGAAAACUGAGAGUUAGAGAGAUUCAGUCAUUUGCCCGGAGUCACAGAGCUGAUGAGCAACGGAGCCUGUUCAAAUCCAGACAGUGAAACUCUGGAUUCCAAACUCUUAACUACCCCACCACACUCACACACUUAUCCUCAUUUAUUUGGCUAGAAAUUACUGGAAGCAUUACUUUUUUUGGUCUCCUAUUUUCAUGGUGGAAGGAUACUUAGGUCCUAGAGGAAAUUCCAAGAUAAUUUGAAUGCAAAAAAAGAUGUCCUGGUCAAUUGGAGGUGUAAUGUUUCUACCUCAAGGGGAGAAAAGUUGCACAAGUUAUGGUUAAAUUCAGCUUUAGUUCAACUGGAUAUGUGUGGUUUUGUUUGAUAUGUAUCUCUUUGCUUUUUCCCAACCCUCUCGCUUCUCAGUUUGUCAGACACUGGGUGGUAAAUUGAUCCGAUAGUGGAGAAGAGCUCACUUCUAUGUAAACAAUGUUUUAUGUCAAAGUCCUGUUUCAAUGAUCCUUCCCAUGCCUCGCCUUCUCAAAAAUCUUGGUCAAGAAUACAAGUACUUGUGGUUUAAAAUAUUCAGAACUGCUUUCACGUGCCUGGAAAAUUAACUGGGCAAAAAUUUCCAUUCACCUCACAGGAAGUGCUUUUAGUUUGCUUUUAAUUUUUUUUCAUUCCAUGACUUAAGAUGGUUUUGAUUUGUGUAUGCAGACGCCUGGGGUGAGGGUGGGGCAUGGAAAGUUGGUUACAUUAAAAGUGUUUUUUAUUUCUUGCCUCCUGGGCACCAGAGUUCAUCAUGCAGCAUGCUUGCUUUUCUGAAGGGCCGUAGGUGAAUGUCUUUCUUUUGCUUUGCUUGCAACUUACUGAAAGCAACAUUUGUCUGAGUAGAGGAGCUCAGACACCAGCAUGGUUGAGUCCAAGCAAUAGGGUUAGAAAGUAACCCCCAAAUAUCUAGGCUUCACCUAAGCUUGGUUUGCCAUUCUGAAAGGGACAAGCAUCAAAAGUGAGAGGUCCUUCCUAAUCACAAUUGCUUCAACUCCUACCUUGCCUAUACUGUUGAGUGGUACCACCAACCAGCCUUCUCCCUUUUCCUGCUGAUUCACCGAUAAACCCCAAUUACUCUACUUCCUAACUGUCUCUCAAGUAUUUUUUCCUCCUCGCUUGCCAAGGUCACUGACUUAGAUCAGGCCUCUGUCAUUUCUAUUCCCACCCUUGUCCCAUUUUGGUCUGUCUUCAUGCUACAACCAGAGUAAUCUUUGUAAAAUGUAAAUAGAAUUCAUCUGUGUCCCCGCCCCACCCAGGAUCCUCCACUGGCUUCCUCUCUUAGGUAAGGCCCACACCCCUUCAAGAUUCCUUAUGAAGGGCAACUCCUUCCCCAGUUCGGCCUCAUCUCUUGCCACAUUUGUUCUUUCUUCCUUCUGUACCAAAUGUUUCCAUCACGUUGAAUGACAUGAAGUUCUCCAAAUUCCCCAAACUAACUCUUCCUUCUACUGCCAGGAGCCAUCAUUUUGUCUGUGCUUCCCCUCCUCACCACUCUAGCCUACCUUCUUUGGCAGAUAUUCCACCAUUCUUCAGGCCUUUGCUUCCAUACCCAUCGAUUCAUCAAAGACAUCAAACCAAUGUCAUUCACUCCCAACCACCCCCAUAACUAGUGUCCAUUUAGUGGCUUUUCUGCAACCUCCCAAUGCUCCUCUGUGUCCCCCAUCCUAGAAAUCAUUAUGUUAUCGGUGGAAGGUAUCUUAGUUACCAGCAGAAAAUCUGUACAGGUCUGCAGCAACCUCAUUUCUUGCCUCUUCAGAACAAAGAAUUUGACUGAGAAGCAUAAGGCAGAAAUACAGACCGAGGCAAGUUUCAGAGCAGGAAUAGAAGUUUAUUUUAAAAAGCUUUAGAACAGAAAAAAGGAGCAUGUGCUUGGAAGAGGCCCAAGGUCAAGUGUGGUGUUUAACCUUGAUUUUAGGACUUUAUAGGCUGGCCUCUUUCACAGGAUUCUUCCCUUAGGGUGGGCUGCCCGCAUGUGCAGUGCCCUCCUUACCCUUAGGAGGUGAGCACAUGCAGUGUGUUUAGGAAACUGUACGUGUGCUCAUCUGAGGCUUUCUUCCCUUUUCUGGUGGUGUGCCUCCAGAGGCCAUUUUGUCUCUUAAUGCGCAGGCCCAGGAAGUUGCUUCUACCUGGUACCCGCAUUCAAUUAACACUUUAGUGCAACAGGUGUGGACCAUCAGGAAAUGACCUCUCCCUGGCACCAGCUGCCAAUUUAUCACUUUUAGAGAGGCAAUGUGAUAAUUGCCAAACCAUCACCCAGCAUUCCUAUGAGUGGGGGAAGAGCCCUCUCCUGCCCAGCUCAUGCUUGUCUAGCUACCUGUAACAAUUGUAACAAUUAUA